rnacentral:rRNA from 1 species
CGGGACGGGUGGGUAAUGUCUGGGAAACUGCCUGAUGGAGGGGGGUAACUACUGGAGACGGUAGCUAAUACCGCAUAACGUCGCAAGACCAAAGAGGGGACCUCGGGCCUCUUGCCAUCGGAUGUGCCCAGAUGGGAUUAGCUAGUAGGUGGGGUAAAGGCUCACCUAGGCGACGAUCCCUAGCUGGUCUGAGAGGAUGACCAGCCACACUGGAACUGAGACACGGUCCAG